AUUGAACGCUGGCGGCAGGCCUAACACAUGCAAGUCGAACGGUAGCACAGAGAGCUUGUUCUCGGGUGACGAGUGGCGGACGGGUGAGUAACGUCUGGGAAACUGCCCGAUGGAGGGGGAUAACUACUGGAAACGGUAGCUAAUACCGCAUAACGUCGCAAGACCAAAGUGGGGGACCUUCGGGCCUCACACCAUCGGAUGUGCCCAGAUGGGAUUAGCUAGUAGGUGGGGUAAUGGCUCACCUAGGCGACGAUCCCUAGCUGGUCUGAGAGGAUGACCAGCCACACUGGAACUGAGACACGGUCCAGACUCCUACGGGAGGCAGCAGUGGGGAAUAUUGCACAAUGGGCGCAAGCCUGAUGCAGCCAUGCCGCGUGUAUGAAGAAGGCCUUCGGGUUGUAAAGUACUUUCAGCGGGGAGGAAGGCGGUGAAGUUAAUAGCUUCACCGAUUGACGUUACCCGCAGAAGAAGCACCGGCUAACUCCGUGCCAGCAGCAGCCGCAG
rnacentral:rRNA from 1 species